GCGCCGGGGGCUGACGCGUGGUGCCGCCGGCUGCGGGGAGCAGGACCCCCGCCGCCCGCCCAUGCUCCCCACCGGCUGCCGGGGCAGUGCCCCGUGACGAGUGGCGGCAGGCGCCCACCUUGCCGCAGACGGGAUCGCAGCCGCCGUGCCCCCGCGCCAGCCCGCCCCGCCAUGACGAGCCUCUUCCGUCGGAGCAGCAGCAACGGCAGCUCGCGCGGCGGCUCCUCCGCCCAGGAGCUCAACAACAGCCGCCCCGCCAGGCAGGUCCGCCGGCUGGAGUUCAACCAGGCCAUGGAGGACUUCAAGACCAUGUUCCCCAACAUGGACUACGACAUCAUCGAGUGCGUCUUGAGGGCCAACAACGGCGCCGUGGACGCCACCAUCGACCAGCUCCUGCAGAUGAACCUGGACAGCAGCGGCUGCGACGACAGCUCGGACUCGGAGGACAGCAUCCCCCCCGAGAUCUUGGAGCGGACCCUGGAGCCGGACAGCUCGGAUGAGGAGCCCCCUCCCGUCUACUCCCCUCCCGCCUACGAGAGCCAGGAGUUCGGCAGCCGCUACCCCCGCGCGCCGCCUACCCCGCCGCCCAGGACGGACGUGCCGGGGCCCGGCAGCACCCCGGCACCUGGGCGCUACAGGAACUGGAACCCACCGCUCCUGGGCAACCUCCCCGAGGACUUCCUCCGCAUCCUGCCCCAGCAGACCGCCGGCACACAGGGCUCCCACGGCUGCCGGCAGGCUGUGCCGCAGGGGCUCGCCCCGCGAGGCCAGGGCUCCCUGGAGCAGGAGCGGCGGUGGAAGCAGUACCUGGAGGACGAGCGGAUCGCGCUCUUCCUGCAGAACGAAGAGUUCAUGAAGGAGCUCCAGAGGAACCGGGAUUUCCUCCUUGCCCUGGAGAGAGAUCGAUUGAAAUACGAAUCAAAAAAAUCCAAGUCAACCAGUGUUGCUGUCAGCAACGACUUUGGUUUCUCCUCCGUAAUAUCAGGUGACGUAGCCCCCUCUGUAACCAGCGAGGCCGGCAGUGCCGUGUCUGACGAUGCCUUAUUCAGAGACAAAUUGAAACACAUGGGAAAAUCCACGCGCAAGAAGCUGUUUGAACUCGCCAGAGCCUUCUCCGAGAAGACAAAGAUGAGGAAAUCAAAAAGAAAACACUUGUUGAAGCACCAGGUGCUGGGGACGGCGGCUUCCACGGCAAAUCUUCUCGAUGACGUCGAAGGACAUUCAUGCGAUGAAGACUUCCAAGCGCGGAGGCAGCAGCUCCGUGAGGAGGAGGAGACGCUGAAGGAAGGGCAGUAAAUGGUGAGAGGCUCCUGGGGAUGAACGCUUCCCGGUGAGCACGCGAACGGCCCUGCCCAUCCGUCCAUCCUGGCUGGAGGAGGGAGCUGGGUGCUCUGGGUCAGGUCCAGAGCGUGUCCGGGUCCCAGCACUGGGGUUUAUUGCUGGCACAGAAUGUGCACAAGGCUUCAUAAGAAGAUGGCUGAAAAAGGAAAAAAAAAAAACCACCCAACAAAUAACCCAGUUUUUUGGCUGUUCCCCCUCUGCUGUUGUACUCCUCUGAAGUACAAGUGUUGAAGUGAGGCACAAUGUUUUCUUACCAGCGGUUUGAAAACAACUUCUCCUAUCUAGCAAAUCAGCCAAAAAGGAAAAAAAAAAAGGAAAAAAAAGUCGGCAGCUGAUGUGAGCUGCUGUGGAGGAGCCAGUGGAGCUCAGACUUGGGAGGAGCAGCAUCCCGCCUGCUCUCUCGGUCCAAGUGGCGUCGCAGGAGGAAUGAAAAUCAGUUGUACUAACGAGGAUGCAUUCACAUGUGGGAUCUGCUUGGCUGGAGCACUCCUGAACAUAUCUCUGUAGCAAUCUGAUGUAACUUUACUCUGCGCACACAGGAAAAAAAAAAACACCACGUGAGAAAGAACCUAACAGCCGUUGUCUACUACUGCUAGUAGUAAUGAGCAGAGAUUCAGAUCAGGUAAUAGUCAAAUAAUAUAAAUUGUUUAUAAAAGGAAAGGCCUUCUUUUCCUAGGCGUUUCACUUUGAAUUAAACCUUUGCCUUCGGCAUUGCUAAAACUGC